AUUGUUUUGGUAUGAAAUUGUUGUUUUUCAUAUUAUUAAGGAAAUUCAAUCGUUGCAAAGGUAUUUAUUUUGAGAUCGUUUUUUCCCGUUACUUUUGUAAGCUCAAACAGUUAGAGUCGUAUUUUCUUUGGAUUUUUCUUUCUGAAGAUACCGUAGCAAUUUCUUUCACGGUGGUUUUAGUACGGCAUGUUCAGUUGUCACUCACUUUCAUUUCAACACGUUGACAGGAAGGAAUUGUCAGCUCGUCAUCAUUUGCUCAUUUUCGGCAUGUUAAUUUGUGUCCCGCCACAGAAGUAAGUUCUUUGGAUUAAUGAUAUAAUUAUGUAAAUAAUGUGUUGAUGAUGUGAUUAUGUAAAACAAGAAGGAAAAGGAAAGUUAUAAACAAAAGUCAAAGUUCUUGGUAAAUAAUGUACACGUGAAAAUAGGUUGAAGUCAGGAGCACAAUUUUUGUGUAAAGGAAUUUAAGGUAAUGUGUCAGUGAGUGAGUUGUUAGUGAUUUAGUUAAAGAUAUGAAGGUGAUUUGAAAAUUGGUUUUUGAUAACAAGCAAUAUUGUCUGCUACACUCAUACACUUAGGCAAUUUAGAGGAUAUGGGUUAUUCAUUAAUCAGGCAUUUGUAGAUUCUUUUCUAUGUAUAUAAUUAUAAGGAAAACAUAAAUAAGAACCAGGUCACAAAAGGAAUUGUACAUUUCAAACCAUUUAUUAAGAACAUGUCAGACUCAGAGUAUGAACAAGAUAACUCAAAAUAUGUUAUUUUUUGUGCAUUAUCUUUACAGAUUGAAUAAAUACCUACACCAGUAGGAACUAUACAUUCUAACGGGCACAUCUCGGCUUGUUCACUGAUCCAAACAUAAUUCAAUUUCUCACGAAACUCCGGGAUUGGAAUCAGACGGACAAGAUGGCUGAAACUGCAGGCGAGCUGAAAGUUAAGAGGAGAACGGCAAAAGGGAAGCUCACAAGGGGUAUGAACCAACUACAGGCCCUUUUGAACACUGAAAGAUCCAUCAAGGAGGUAGAUGAGAGCUAUCACGAAUUCCGCAAACUGUAUGAAAAUGUGGAGGCAAAGCAUGAUGCCUAUUCUGAGGUUCUCGAUGACACCGCGUAUGAAGCAGAGCAGGCGUGGAUGGAGGAGUGCAUGAAUAGCUUCAUACAGAUGAAGUUGAAGGUUGUGGACUAUGUAGGCAAUAGUACCGGCGCGGAUGACACGGUUGACACCACAAGAGAGGUUGAAAGCCCAAGGUCAGAAGUGAGAAACACAACAACAUGUCAUGUACAGAUAGAGAAACCAAAGUUGCCACGUUUCUCAGGAGACAUCAGAGAGUACCAGACCUUCAAAUCGGACUUUAAACAUCUUAUCGAGUCCAAAUACUCGGAGAGGGACUGUAUAACCAUUCUGCGUACUAGUUUACAAGGCAAAGCACUUGAAGUGAUUCAAGGCAUAGGAACAGACUACAACGCAGCUUGGGAGCAACUAAAUGUCAUCUACGGUGAUCAGAGGAAUGUCGCAGAUGCUGUCAUCUACGACAUCACAAAGUUCAAGAACUUGAAAGACGGCGAUGAUAAAGGGUUCAUUGAACUAGCAGGGUUAGUGAGGAGGAGCUACAACACUCUGAAGGAAAUCAACAAGGAGGAGGACAUGAACAAUUCUCACAUGUUGUCAUUGAUAGAGCGAAAGCUUACGAAUGAAGAUCGUAAGAUCUGGUUACGUCAACAGAAGUCACCAACUUUGAAGUGCUUAAUGGAAUGGUUGAGCCAGGAGUUGCAAACUCGUAUCAGGGCAACUGCAUCGAUUCGAGAAGGAAGGUCAGAUAGCAAGCCAAGGCAGGGUGCCUUCAUACACCAUCUGACACAGGAGGACAAAGGAAAUGAAGGUCGCAAACCAGACUUUAAGUGUUGGCUCUGUAAAUCCAAUGAUCAUUGGGUCGAUAAGUGUCAGAAGGUCGUUAAGAUGAGCCAGCAGGAGAGGUACGAGUUGAUGAAGGAAAACAGGGCUUGUUUUAGCUGUCUGAAACGGGCUGGCAAGGAACAUCGGAUGACUACAUGUCGGAGAAGAAAGAAGUGUGAUCGAUGUUCUUCCUUUCACCAUCCUUUGUUACAUUCAACCAUAAAGAUCCAGGAAUCUACUGUGGAUGUUGCAAGCACCGGAUCGAGUGAAACUCUUCUGCCAAUUCUUACAGUCAAGGUUCGUGGUCCAAAGGGAGCGGUCAUUGGCAACUGUUUACUGGACUCGGGUUCUCAGGUGACACUCAUCAGGAAGGGAGUAGCAGAGAAGCUCAACCUGGAGGGUGAUCCGGUUCAAAUAGUGAUCACAAAGAUCGGCGGAGAUAGAGAGACUACUAAUUCUAAGUGGUAUCGGGUGAAGGUAGAGUCUUUGGACAAUCAUCGAGUUGUUAAUGUGAAAGCUAUUGGACUAGAUGUGAUCAACGACAACAUCAGAAGUGUUGAAGUUCGGGAGCUUGCAAGGAUUUUCGAUCUUGAUAAGCUCAACAGAGGAGACGGGUCAGUUGAUCUACUCAUCGGUGCUGAUUAUGCAAGACUACAUCUUGGUGAAGUCAAGUCAAGAGAAAGAGGACAUCUAGUGGCUACGCGAACUCCACUAGGUUGGGUGGUAUUUGGCGGCAAGCCAGGACAGAGCAGUGGAAGUGUACUUAAUGUACAGGUGGUUGGAAAUCCUAUUGACCUGCAGGAUUUCUGGACGACGGAGUCCAUGGGUGUGGCAUGUCCAGCUAUGGAGACAGAUGAACAGAAGUUAAUCACCAAGGCCUGUCAGAAGAAAGGACAGCAGUGGCUGGUACCGUACCCAUGGUUGAAAGAUCCUAGAGAACUUCCAGACAAUAAGGUUCUAGUGGAGAAAAUGCUCUGUGCUACUGAGAAAAGGCUGAUGAAGGAUGCAGAGCAUGCAAAGGCCUAUGACCAUCAAAUCAAGGAGAUGGUUCAGAUGGAUUUUGCUAGGAAGCUAACGGCUGAGGAGAUGGAGUCGUACAACGGUCCUGUGCAUUACAUCCCUCAUCACGCCGUAUUGAGACCAGAGAAAAAGAGCACACCGAUACGAAUUGUCUUCAACUCUUCAUCAGUGUACCAAGGCAAGUGUCUCAAUGAUUUCUGGAUGAAGGGGCCUGACCUGUUGAACAAUUUGUUUGGAGUCAUCAUACGAUUUCGGGAGAAGCCAGUAGCAGUCUGUGCGGACAUCUCCAAAAUGUAUCAUAGGGUGCUGAUACCGGAAUCUGAUCAACACGUACACAGAUUCUUGUGGAGAGACUUGCAAGUUGAUAGAAAGCCUGAUACCUAUGUGAUGCAAGUUGUUACCUUCGGUGACAAACCGGCUUCAGCAAUGGCGCAGACAGCAUUGAGGCUCACUGCAGAAGAGGGACGCACUCAGUCCCCAGAGGCUGCAGAUGUGUUGAAGAGAGACUCAUACAUGGAUGAUAUCUGCACAUCUACAAAUACGAGAGAGGAAGCUCAAGCCUUAACUGAGAGCAUUGACAAUAUUCUCGCUAAUGGUGGGUUUAAGGUGAAAGGCUGGACUUCAAACACACAGCUAAAGGGAGCAGGAGGAGAUGAAAUGGAGAAAACUCUGAUGGAGAGUCUAGCAGAGGAAAAGGUGCUAGGAGUCUUCUGGGACAGAAAAAGGGAUGAGUUCUCUUACAGGGUGAAAGUUGAGAAGUUCUUGGAUAAGGAGCUAACCAAGAGAAUCAUCCUAGGCCAGGUUUCUCGAAUCUUUGAUCCUAUUGGCUACACAGCACCGUUUGUCAUCCGAGCAAAGAUAGGACUACAGAAGAUGUGGGAAGCUGGCUAUGACUGGGAUGCAGUUCUUCCAGAGGAAUGCCAGAUAGAGUGGAAGAGAUUCUUUCAAGAGAUGGAAGAGCUCAAGGAAGUAACGUUUGAGAGAUGUUUGACUCCGAAGGAUGUAGUUGGGAAGCCGCUACUAUGUAUCUUCAGUGAUGCAUCAAUGCACGCCUUCGGAGCAUGUGCAUACCUGAGGUGGGAGACGGAGGAUGGAGACUACAAGACAAGAUUUGUGGCAGCGAAAUCACGAGUGGCACCACUGAAGCCACUGACGGUUCCGCGCCUUGAACUUCAGGCUGCAGUUCUUGCCAGCCGACUGUACAAGACGAUAGUAGAGCAGCUGACGAUGGAGAUAGAUGAUGUCAUCCUCUUUACAGACAGUAUGAUAGCCCUCUCAUGGGUGAGGUCUAAGGCAAGGAACUUCAAGACGUUCAUUGCUACUAGGGUAGGAGAGAUCCAGAGCAACACAGACCCCAGCAAAUGGCGACAUAUCUCAGGAGUAGACAACAUAGCAGAUGUGUUGUCAAGAGGACUGAAGGCAAGUGAACUGAAGGGGUCAUGGCAACACGGUUCAGACUUCCUACAACAGUCAAGAUCUGAUUGGCCUGAGGAAGUGAAGGUUCUUACGAAUCUACCUGACGUUGAGAAGGAGAGGCGUCAUGAGAAGACGGUUCUAGCUGUGGGUUUAAGUUGUGACCUAAUCGAUUAUGAGAGGUUCUCCAGCUGGAGGAAACUGGUCAGAGUCGCAACAUUGGUGUUAAAGUUUGUGAAGAAACUAAAGGCUAGACGGGGAAAUCAGGAGAAAGAGACCAGUAAAGGAAUGACUCCCGCAGAACUAGAGGAGGGAGAGAGGUACAUCAUCAGAGACGUACAGAAAGGCAUGGAAUCACGAAUCAAGAAGGGAGAACUGAAGUCCUUGAGUCCCUUCAUUGAUGACUAUAGAGUCAUUCGAGUAGGAGGCAGGAUAGAUAAAGCGAUGACAUCAUUCGAGCACAAGCAUUCUGCUCUUCUUCCGUAUGGACAUCAUGUUUCCAAGCUGAUUACUCGUCAUGUUCAUGAGAUGAGUCAUAGUGGAGUAGCUGCAACCAUGGCAAAGAUAAGGCUAAAGUACUGGAUUCUACGGGGCCAUAAACUUAUCAAAACGCUCAAGUACAGGUGUACUAAAUGCAGAGCUUUUCUGCAAAAAACUGAGACCCAAGAAAUGGCCCAGCUACCUAGGGAGAGAUUAGCUCCGAAUACACCACCGUUCCACUUCACAUCGUGCGAUUACUUCGGGCCACUAACCGUGCGAGUGGGACGCAACAAGACGUCGAAGCAUUACGGAGUCAUCUUUACCUGCUUGAACACAAGGGCCGUUCAUCUCGAGCUGGCAGUAGAUUGCAGUGCCAUGGAGUUUAUGCAGGUACUGCGGCGUUUUUUCGCUGUGAGAGGACAACCGGCCAGCAUCCUAAGCGACAACGGCACUCAGUUUGUCGGUACUGAACGGGAGUUAAGCAAGAUGACUGAGGGACUGUCCAACGAAGAACUUCAGGACUUUUGUGCUGAGAGAGGUACCGUAUGGAGAUUUACCACUCCGGGAGCACCACAUCAGAACGGCUGUGCGGAGGCUUUAGUCAAAAGCUGCAAACAUGCUUUGAAGAAGGCAAUUGGGGAGCAAGUGUUGGCACCAUUUGAGCUUUUAACUUGUCUGGCUGAGGUGGCGAAUCUGGUCAACCAGAGACCAAUUGGCAGGCUGUCGACCGAUCCAGAUGAUGGCGGAUACAUCUCACCGAAUGACAUGCUUCUAGGACGAGCAUCAGGGAACGUAGCGCAAGGUCCAUUCUUGGAAACGCGAAAUCCGAGGCACAGAGUAGAACUGGUUCAGCGCAUCGUAGAUUCAUUCUGGCAACGCUGGACGCGGGACGUAUUGCCACUGUUAACUCCUAGAAGAAAAUGGAAUGUGCAUCGACGUAAUGUACGCGUUGAUGAUAUCGUUAUGUUCGCAGACGCGAACUCUGUGCGUAGCAAGUGGACAAUUGCUCGCAUAAUCGAGGUGUUUCCGGGUGAUGACGGUAAAGUACGGAACGUGAAAGUAAAGACUAUGAACUCUGAGUACCGUCGCCCGAUCACGAAGAUUGCUGUAAUCUAUCCCGCAGAAGGUUACGAAGAUUAAGUUACACGAGAACUUUAAGUUUGAAACAUUGUAAACUUAAGAACAGAUUAAUCUUUGCAUUUUUUUUGGAUGUAAGAUUUUCUUCAUUUAUAUCAUGAGGACAAAUUCCCUCAUUGGGUGGGGAGGAUGUUUUGGUAUGAAAUUGUUGUUUUUCAUAUUAUUAAGGAAAUUCAAUCGUUGCAAAGGUAUUUAUUUUGAGAUCGUUUUUUCCCGUUACUUUUGUAAGCUCAAACAGUUAGAGUCGUAUUUUCUUUGGAUUUUUCUUUCUGAAGAUACCGUAGCAAUUUCUUUCACGGUGGUUUUAGUACGGCAUGUUCAGUUGUCACUCACUUUCAUUUCAACACGUUGACAGGAAGGAAUUGUCAGCUCGUCAUCAUUUGCUCAUUUUCGGCAUGUUAAUUUGUGUCCCGCCACAGAAAUUGAAUAAAUACCUACACCAGUAGGAACUAUACAUUCUAACGGGCACAUCUCGGCUUGUUCACUGAUCCAAACAGCCAUUGUU